UGCCCCAGCCCCAGCCCGAAACCCAGCGCCCACCACGCUGCCACGGUGUUUAUAUUGGUUUGCCAGCACGUGGGCAAGUGUUGGCAAAAAAAGAUUGGCACACCCCUCUGCAAACUUAAACGCAACUUGAGAAAAAAAAUUCCCCCAGGACUCCGUCAAAUAGUGAUUUUAUCUGCCCUUUAUCUUGCACAGACAAGUUUCUUGUAAUUUUUCAGUUGCAAAUAACCCCGUGAUGAAUAUUCUAACUUCUCUUGCGGUUUUUUUCUCUGCGUUCUUUGAGGGUUUGGGUUUUUGUUUGUUUUUGUUGUUUUUUUUUUAAAGAAAUUCACUGAAGUGAGAAUUACUGGGUCAAAGGAUAUAAACUGCCAAACUAACCUCCAGAAAAAAACAAUUUACAUUGUCAUUGGCAGUGGCUUAGAGUACACUGCUCAUGAAUUCUGGACGUAAGUGGAUAUUUAAUGUUUGCUAAUGUAAUUUUGUUGUUUUGAUACAUAUCCUUGGACAGUUUUCCUGUGCCAGUGGCCAUUUAUACUUUUCUAUUGUUUUUUUCUUAUUGUAGCACUUUAUGAAUACUAACACUUUGCCAUAUAUGUUGUUCUAACACUUUUCAGAGGCUAAACUCAAACUGGAUUUUUAAUAAUGGGAACAUACUUUAAUACUUAUCACAUGGGAAAUUCCAUACUUAGCACAUGAAGAUGCAGUGAAGGGUAGACAGCUGUCUUCUCCAGACAUUUGCUACCUGAUAUAUGUCUUUUUUUUUUUUUUUUCCAUGUUAAUCCAAAUUCAGUGUUAAGCUCCUGCAAGACAGGAACUCUGUCUACCCUUUUGUGUGUUUCAAAGGAGAGGUAUUCUCUGAUGCCUGCAGGCCAAAGCCAAGGAAUGGUUUUUUAGCACUCUCCCUCCAACACCUCCUCUCCUUCACUCCUAAUGGCAAAUAUGUUUCUUUGAUAUGCUUAGUUGACUAUAUUGAGUUGAUUUUCUCAAGUUCAUGUGAGUGUAAAUAAAAAUAAUUUGAGAAAAUGACUUUUUAUUGAUCUUUAACAUGAGUUGUAUGUAAAAAUCGUGUUUCCGAAGUAAACUUUAAAGCCCUGUAGAUAACCUCUUCUGCAACUAGAAUGUUGUUCCUAACCCCCUCCUAUGUAGGAAUUCUGUAUCCUCUGUUGCUGUCCCUGCAAACUCACAUCCCCUCCCUCUUCACUCUUCCACAACGCCUUGCUUUAUUCCCUUGACAUACUUAUAUCUAUCUCAAAAUAUGUUGAUUCUUUGUUUACUACUAUCCUCUUCUAGAAAAUGAGCUCUCUGAGUGUAGGGACCUUUUCUAUUUUGUUUAUUGCAGUGUUCUAGCAUGGCUUGGGCCUUCAAUAUCUUCUGAAUGAUAACAGAACCCUUAUUUAAAUAUUUGUUGAUUGGUUUAUUUUUCUAUCUCAGUAUAAAUUCAACUGCUACAGAAGUCUCCCAGGUACCCCAGUAUAGCCUGUUCUUGGAGGUAAACUGUCCCUUAACUUUUUUUUUUUUUUUUCUUCCAACUCUUAACUAUGCCACCUGUCUGCUUCUCUAAACUGGGAGGCCCUUAAAGUAGGCUGGAGCAAAACGGCCUGGCUUCUGAACGGGAAGGGAAGAGUUCUUGGUACACAGCCCCAGUACUUCGAAUACUUGGCACCCAAGCCCACCCACAGAAUGGGAGAGCCCAUGGUUGGCAGACAGAGCACAAUGGAAGGUGACGGCCGGAGAACACAGACUUGCAGAAGAGCCUGCAGUAGCCCAGUCGUCCUGUGGUCCAGAGCAUGAAGCUAGCAUCAGAUGGCUGUAGUUCUGCCUCUUUCCUCAGCUCUAGUCAGUCAGCACUCUCUUGCCUCCGAUGUACGGCCGUCCAUAGCUCAUGCUCCAGAAGGGGAAAUGUCACACUGGAAUAUACAGUGCAAAUAAAACUUCUAUUUUCUGAA